rnacentral:sRNA from 1 species
AAAGUGGCUAAAUAACUUUGGGAUGAUAUGUUUAGUGUGUUAUUUAUUGUUCUUUUAUUCGAUUAUUUUAUGAGUAAUGGAAUAAGUAUGAAUUAAGUUGUAUGUAGUAGAAUUUUGUAGGAAUUAAGCU